GAUGAACGCUGGCGGCGUGCCUAAUACAUGCAAGUCGAGCGAACGGACGAGAAGCUUGCUUUUCUGAUGUUAGCGGCGGACGGGUGAGUAACACGUGGAUAACCUACCUAUAAGACUGGGAUAACUUCGGGAAACCGGAGCUAAUACCGGAUAAUAUUUUGAACCGCAUGGUUCAAAAGUGGAAGACGGUCUUGCUGUCACUUAUAGAUGGAUCCGCGCUGCAUUAGCUAGUUGGUAAGGUAACGGCUUACCAAGGCAACGAUGCAUAGCCGACCUGAGAGGGUGAUCGGCCACACUGGAACUGAGACACGGUCCAGACUCCUACGGGAGGCAGCAGUAGGGAAUCUUCCGCAAUGGGCGAAAGCCUGACGGAGCAACGCCGCGUGAGUGAUGAAGGUCUUCGGAUCGUAAAACUCUGCUAUUAGGGAAGAACAUAUGUGUAAGUAACUGUGCACAUCUUGACGGUACCUAAUCAGAAAGCCACGGCUAACUACGUG
rnacentral:rRNA from 1 species